GCCGGCACCAUGAGGAAUCCAUUCUGAUGAGGGUAGUGGUGUCCACAUCCAGUGCCUGCGAUGUACAGAGCUGCAGUUUCCACACUUCGCAGUCGUGACUGGCGAAAAUGAAUUCAUAGAAAUGGGAAUGGUAUAACAAUUCACUCCUAUCAAAGCAUUACAACAUAGUUCUUUUGAAGAUAUUUUCCUGACAAAACAAUAUAUUACCUAUGAUCAAGUAUAGAAUUCGAAACUGUUUUACAAUGGAGUCAAGUGAAUGACAGACUUACAAGAAAUUUCUUGAUUUAGAAAAUUCCCAUGAAUACAUAAAAGAAUGAGAAUAGAAGGAACCAGAGAGAAUUUUCUGUAGUAUUUUUAAUUUAACAUAAAUAUGGAAUGAAAUUGAUGCCUUCUGCAAAGAAACCUAGAAUUGGAUUCUUCUCUUCCCCAUCACACCAGGUCCCAUUGUGAUGAAUGAACAGAUACCAAUGGCAAGAGGGUUUGGGAACCAGACAGAUCUUGGUUUGAAACAUUUCAACUUAUACUAGUUCUGAGAUCUUGGGCAAGAUAUUCAACCUCUUGGUUUUCUCAUCUGUAAAUGUGGGAUGAUAAUAUCUACCUUAUGAGGUUGUUUGUAAAGCUUAGAGAUGUUAUAUAAAAAGAGUUGGUACACGACUGGCUCUCAAUGAAUAAGAUGUGAUUCUUAUGGGUCGUGUAAAAACAAAGGUGCGUGUUGUUGGGCGAGAAAGGGUUAAUUUCUGCAGUGGGUUGAGCAUGUGUUUGUAUGAAGGACCAGCUGCCUUGACAAUAUGCUGCUGCAGUGACUCAUGGCUGGCUGCCAAACUGAGGCUCCAAGAACCCUUCUGCAACGUUAGGCGAUGAUGUGCAUCGUGUAAAUGAUACCCUGCAAGAACUCUAACUUCAGACUUCACGGGGUUGAAGUUCUGGCCUCUUACAAUCUCCUAGAGAUCACAUAUCCUCUACCUCACGGGAGUGAGAAAAGUCUCUAGGCCCAACAAUUGUCCACAUAGAUUUAGGGCUGCCUACUUAAUUCCUUAAGGUCUCCUUCAUUUACCAGCCACAAGCCUUCGUGUUAGUUUUGUUCAUAUAUCCAGUGGAUAUUUUUUUCCCGCCUGUGAUUAUUAGAUGCAAAAUAUCAGACUUUGAAACUCUUGUGGAAACUGCAAAAAAGAUUGUCUUCUACAUACUGUUGUGGUUGAUGAAAUUCUGAAGUGACAUUCUGUAUCAGUCUCCAACACUAGACAAUGUUAAAAGAAUCAAGUAGGAUGAUCUAGAAUUUAGAGAGAUAAAGAGAGAAAAGAUGUUAACAAUAUGACAAUAUUUGGGUGCAAAAAAAAGUGAAGUGUUUUUUUUUUUUUUUAGUCUAGAGAGCUGUAUAAAAUGGAAAAGAUCUCCUCCAUUAACAGCCUUACUGAAAUUCACUAUUUUUCAGUGAAGGCUUUGUACAUCUGAAGACAUUUUUUAAGUGGAAUAACAGAGAUGGGCUCUAACGAAUAACAGAAGAAAACUGACGACUGAUUCCAUGAAGUAAAGAAUAUUGAAAUCAAACACUUUACCAUCAUCCUAAAUACACUUUGUUAAUAUCUCCUGUUUGGUAGGCCAAAAGUUAAAAUUUUCCAGUUGAUAAACUGUUGCAUUGAACUCUUCCCAAUCUGAUCUAGAGGAAACUGAAUCUUUUAGACAUUAAAAUAUAUGUUGGUUGGCUACCUUUAAAUUGACUUCAAGAGUUAGUUACACUAUUUAUCAUGAUAUAGAUUUGAUUUGGUAAAACCAUUACUUUUUAUCAUAUUAUUUUAGAGGAGUUAAUUUUUUAAUUUGAAAAUAUGUUUACAGAAGCCUGUAGAAUGUUUUCAGACACUGAGGAGAUGAAGGAUAGAGACUGCUUUUAAGGAGGUUAUGGUCUAGUGGAGAAUAUAGACUGACAAAUAAUUAUAAUACACAAUUUACAUGUUAAAAGAGGUUACAAAAGGUGUUAUGAGAGCAUCAAUGAUGGGCACCCAAGUCGGCCUGGGGCUGUCAAAGAGUUCAGUUUUAGGGCUCCUGUGUUGAAAAUGCCAUCGAGUCAUCAAUUGAAGCUGGAUGCAUGGUGUUUCAAUUUUGGAGCCUUUCGUGGCUGUAGAUGGAACUCUAGGCACUAUUCACAAUUAUGAAAAAAUCAAAUGCCUCUGAAAAGCAUUUGUCACUCAUGUGUAAAUGCUGUGCUAUGCCUUAUGAUUAAUUUCAAGCAUACAUGAAAAUGUAGUUUAAGUAUAAAAAUAUUUUUUAGGGUGGCUGAGGAAUUAACAUAAAAAGACUUCUGAUGAUAGCUUUGGUCAGGAAAAUAGAGAGAGGAAGCAAAGUCUUAGAAGAUUAUAAUUUCUAAUGUCAGUUGCAAAGAACCUUUUUACAAAUCUCUAUAACACAAUCUAUAAAAUUAAUAAAAAUCAAUUAAACUAUUAAAAUUAUGAAAGUAAUGAAAAUUUGGUCAUAAAACUAAUAUAAAAGGUCAAAUGUUUCGGUUUAA